rnacentral:rRNA from 1 species
AGACCUGAGGGUGAAAGAUUUAUCGCCGAAAGAACGGCCCGCGGAAGAUUAGGCAGUUGGUGGGGUAAAGGCCUACCAAACCUACGAUCUAUAGCUGGUCUGAGAGGAUGAUCAGCCACAUUGGGACUGAGACACGGCCCAGACUCCUACGGGAGGCAGCAGUGAGGAAUAUUGGGCAAUGGGGGCAACCCUGACCCAGCCAUGCCGCGUGAGUGAAGAAGGUUUUCGAAUUGUAAAGCUCUUUCGGAUGUGACGAUGAUGACGGUAGCAUCUAAAGAAGCCCCGGCAAACUUCGUGCCAGCAGCCGCGGUAAUACGAAGGGGGCGAGCGUUGUUCGGAAUUACUGGGCGUAAAGGGUGUGUAGGUGGACGUGUAAGAUAGCGGUGAAAUGCCGGAGCUCAACUUCGGAAUUGCCAUUAUAACUAUGCGUCUAGAAUUAUAGAGAGGAUAGCGGAAUACCCAGUGUAGAGGUGAAAUUCGUAGAUAUUGGGUAGAACACCAGUGGCGAAGGCGGCUAUCUGGCUAUAUAUUGACACUGAGGCACGAAAGCAUGGGGAUCAAACAGGAUUAGAUACCCUGGUAGUCCAUGCCGUAAACGAUGAAUGCUGGUUGUCGGACGAAUGUUCGGUGACGAAGUUAACGCGAUAAGCAUUCCGCCUGGGGAGUACGGCCGCAAGGUUAAAACUCAAAGGAAUUGACGGGGACCCGCACAAGCGGUGGAGCAUGUGGUUUAAUUCGAUGCAACGCGAAGAACCUUACCAAGUCUUGACAUCCUCAUCGGGGAGGACAGAGAUGUCUUCUUUCAGUUAGGCUGGAUGAGUGACAGAUGCUGCAUGGCUGUCGUCAGCUCGUGU